AUUGAACGCUGGCGGCAUGCCUUACACAUGCAAGUCGAACGGCAGCGGACCUUCGGGUGCCGGCGAGUGGCGAACGGGUGAGUAAUGCAUCGGAACGUACCUUUCAGUGGGGGAUAACGUAGCGAAAGUUACGCUAAUACCGCAUAUUCUGUGAGCAGGAAAGCAGGGGAUCGCAAGACCUUGCGCUGAUUGAGCGGCCGAUGUCAGAUUAGCUAGUUGGUGGGGUAAAGGCUCACCAAGGCGACGAUCUGUAGCGGGUCUGAGAGGAUGAUCCGCCACACUGGAACUGAGACACGGUCCAGACUCCUACGGGAGGCAGCAGUGGGGAAUUUUGGACAAUGGGGGCAACCCUGAUCCAGCCAUGCCGCGUGAGUGAAGAAGGCCUUCGGGUUGUAAAGCUCUUUCGGCCGGGAAGAAAUCGCACGGGCUAAUACCCUGUGUGGAUGACGGUACCGGAAUAAGAAGCACCGGCUAACUACGUGCCAGCCGCCGCAGUAACAC
rnacentral:rRNA from 1 species